UACGGGGGGGGCAAGCGUUGUUCGGAAUUACUGGGCGUAAAGGGCUUGUAGGUGGCCAACUAAGUCAGACGUGAAAUCCCUCGGCUUAACCGGGGGAACUGCGUCUGAUACUGGAUGGCUUGAGUUUGGGAGAGGGAUGCGGAAUUCCAGGUGUAGCGGUGAAAUGCGUAGAUAUCUGGAGGAACACCGGUGGCGAAGGCGGCAUCCUGGACCAAGACUGACACUGAAAAGCGAAAGCCAGGGGAGCAAACGGG
rnacentral:rRNA from 1 species